CGAAAACAUGGCGAAGUUUUGAGCAAUAUGAAGAGAUUGGAAGGGGGGAAUUCAGCCAUACAGAGUGUCUCGUCUGCAGCGUCUCCAGCUGGUCCAGACACCAGUCCAGCUCCUCCAUCGUCUCCACCGCCAGCUUCUGGCAGGGCUCCUCUGAAAGAGUAGAUGCGUCGAAAGGAGCCAGUUGAGGUGGUUCG